rnacentral:rRNA from 1 species
UACGGGGGGGGCAAGCGUUGUUCGGAAUUACUGGGCGUAAAGGGCUCGUAGGCGGCCAACUCAGUCGGACGUGAAAUCCCUCGGCUUAACCGGGGAACUGCUUCCGAUACUGGAUGGCUUGAGUGUGGGAGAGGGAUGCGGAAUUCCAGGUGUAGCGGUGAAAUGCGUAGAUAUCUGGAGGAACACCGGUGGCGAAGGCGGCAUCCUGGACUACUACUGACGCUGAGGCGCGAAAGCUAGGGGAGCAAACAGGG